CAAGUCUGCUGUCAAAGGUCGGAGCUUAACUCCGGUUCGGCAGUGGAAACUGGAGCGCUAGAGGGCGACAGGGGUAGAGGGAAUUCCCAGUGUAGCGGUGAAAUGCGUAGAGAUUGGGAAGAACACCGGUGGCGAAAGCGCUCUACUGGGUCGCGCCUGACCCUCAGGGACGAAAGCUAAGGUAGCGAAAGGGAUUAGAUACCCCUGUAGUCUUAGCCGUAAACGAUGGAUACUAGGCGUGGUUUGUAUCGACCCAAGCCGUGCCGAAGCUAACGCGUUAAGUACCCCGCCUGGGGAGUACGCACGCAAGUGUGAAACUCAAAGGAAUUGACGGGGGCCCGCACAAGCGGUGGAGGAUGUGGUUUAAUUCGAUGCAACGCGAAGAACCUUACCAGGGCUUGACAUCCCGCGAAUCUCGCUGAAAGGUGAGAGUGCCUUCGGGAGCGCGGAGACAGGUGGUGCAUGGCUGUCGUCAGCUCGUGUCGUGAGAUGUUGGGUUAAGUCCCGCAACGAGCGCAACCCUCGUCCUUAGUUGCCAGCAUUAAGUUGGGCACUCUAGGGAGACUGCCGGUGACAAACCGGAGGAAGGUGAGGAUGACGUCAAGUCAGCAUGCCCCUUAUGCUCUGGGCGACACACGUCCUACAAUGGUCGGGACAAAGGGGAGCGAGCCCGCGAGGGUGAGCGAAUCCCGUCAAACCCGGCCUCAGUUCAGAUUGCAGGCCGCAACUCGCCUGCAUGAAGGAGGAAUCGCUAGUAAUCGCAGGUCAG
rnacentral:rRNA from 1 species